CGUGAACUGAACAGUUAGAGCUGUUUCAGAGAGAAACAACAACUGUCAGACCCCAUUAUCACUGAUAGAGGCUGUGAGGAAGACACUACGAUCCUUGCAGCAAGGGAAGGAUCUAGAUAAUGUAGCACUGUUCACAUUCUGCAAGCAGGUGUCGUUCCAGCAGUAUGAGGAUGACAAAGAUAAAGCCACUCUCUACAGUUUGAAGCAGUUAAUGCAUCAGAUCGCUCACAGCGACGGUCUGUCCGUCAAACAGAAGAGACGACUGGCCAAACACUUCCAGAGACAUCACCCAGGGACCUUCCUCCAGCACUUCUUUUCUUCAUUCUAGAAACACUGCAUACAAAUGAUCUGUUAGUCCAUGAAUUUGCAAGUAGACUCUGAUUUGUACAAGCUUUAUAAGCAGGACUGUUGUUAGAAAUAUGUAUAUAAUGAAGAAACUGCUAAUCACUACUGUACACUAUUUCAUCUGGUGAGUUUCAAGAGUGUGUUUUAUGAACAUUUCCGUGUAGAAUUACUUGAAUUGUGUGAAAUGCUCAGUUUUUUUAAGCUAUUAGAAAUAGUUGUAGUUGCACUUGAAAUCGAGAUAUAGAUACCUAUGACUUAAAGGUAAAGAUUUGAGUUAUCACUUAUUUACUUUAUUCUUGCAAUGAUUGCGAGCACAGAUGAUUUGAAUUAAUGUUGACCUCGUAUAUUACUGUUCUCUGCAUAAGUCUCAACUUCUGGUUUUGACUGUCAAAUCAUAAAUGCACUGGAUUCAUUGUGGUGUUACAUAUUGAUGGUAUUUAUUAAUAAGUAAUUGAACAGAAGGUGAAAGGCAUACCUUACAAAUUAUUGUAAUUGCAUUAAAAUAGUUUUUUUUAUAUGCACUUACAUUUUCUGAUAUUUAAACUUAU